GACGAACGCUGGCGGCGUGCUUAACACAUGCAAGUCGAACGGUGAAGGGGCCUGCUUUUGUGGGCCCUGGUUGAGUGGCGAACGGGUGAGUAACACGUGAGUAACCUGCCCCCUUCUUCUGGAUAACCGCAUGAAAGUGUGGCUAAUACGGGAUAUUCUGGGUCUGUCGCAUGAUGGGUCUGGGAAAGAUUGCGCCUUUGGGUGUUUUUGGUGGGGGAUGGGCUCGCGGCCUAUCAGCUUGUUGGUGGGGUGAUGGCCUACCAAGGCGGUGACGGGUAGCCGACCUGAGAGGGUGGACGGUGACACUGGGACUGGGACACGGCCCAGACUCCUGCGGGAGGCAGCAGUGGGGAAUAUGGCACAGUGGGCGCAAGCCUGAUGCAGCGACGCCGCGUGAGGGAUGGAGGCCUUCGGGUUGUAAACCUCUUUCGCCAGUGAAGCAGGCCUGCUCCUUGUGGGUGGGUUGACGGUAGCUGGAUAAGAAGCGCCGGCUAACUACGUG
rnacentral:rRNA from 1 species